rnacentral:rRNA from 1 species
CCUUAAUCUGGGGGAUAGCCUCUCGAAAGAGAGAUUAACACCGCAUAACAUUACCGGAUAGCAUUUUCUGGUAAUCAAAUAUUUAUAGGAUUAAGAUGGGCAUGCGGAACAUUAGCUAGUUGGUAAGGUAAUGGCUUACCAAGGCUACGAUGUUUAGGGGAUCUGAGAGGAUGACCCCCCACACUGGUACUGAGACACGGACCAGACUCCUACGGGAGGCAGCAGUAAGGAAUAUUGGUCAAUGGGCGCAAGCCUGAACCAGCCAUGCCGCGUGCAGGAAGACGGCCCUACGGGUUGUAAACUGCUUUUGUACCGGAAUAAACCUUGAUUCGUGAAUCAAGCUGAAUGUACGGUAAGAAUAAGGAUCGGCUAACUCCGUG